CCUACGGGGGGCAGCAGUGAGGAAUAUUGGUCAAUGGGCUUACGCCUGAACCAGCCAAGUCGCGUGAGGGAAGAAUGCCCUAUGGGUUGUAAACCUCUUUUGUCAGGGAGCAACGCCGGCUACGUGUAGCCGGACAGAGAGUACCUGAAGAAAAAGCAUCGGCUAACUCCGUGCUAGCAGCCGCGGGAAUACGGAGGAUGCGAGCGUUAUCCGGAUUUUAUGGGUUGAAGGGGUGCGUAGGCGGAAGGCCAAGUCAGCGGUAAAAUCGCGGGGGUCAACCUGGCUUCGCCUUUGAAACUGGCGUUCUUGAGUGGGCGAGAGGGAUGCGGAAUUCGUGGUGUAGCGGUGAAAUGCGUAGAUAUCACGCAGAACACCGAUUGCGAAGGCAGUAUGCCGGCGCCCAACUGACGCUGAGGCACGAAAGCGUGGGUAGCGAACAGGAUUAGAUACCCUUGUAGUC
rnacentral:rRNA from 1 species